rnacentral:rRNA from 1 species
UAACCUGCCUUGGAGUGGGGAAUAACAGUUGGAAACAACUGCUAAUACCGCAUGAUGCAGUUGGGUCGCAUGGCUCUGACUGCCAAAGAUUUAUCGCUCUGAGAUGGACUCGCGUCUGAUUAGCUAGUUGGUGAGGUAACGGCUCACCAAGGCGACGAUCAGUAGCCGGACUGAGAGGUUGGCCGGCCACAUUGGGACUGAGACACGGCCCAGACUCCUACGGGAGGCAGCAG